rnacentral:rRNA from 1 species
GAGUAAUACAUCGGAACGUACCCAGAAGUGGGGGAUAACGUAGCGAAAGUUACGCUAAUACCGCAUACGUUCUACGGAAGAAAGUGGGGGAUCGCAAGACCUCAUGCUUUUGGAGCGGCCGAUGUCUGAUUAGCUAGUUGGUGAGGUAAAGGCUCACCAAGGCGACGAUCAGUAGCUGGUCUGAGAGGACGACCAGCCACACUGGAACUGAGACACGGUCCAGACUCCUACGGGAGGCAGCAGUGGGGAAUUUUGGACAAUGGGCGCAAGCCUGAUCCAGCAAUGCCGCGUGAGUGAAGAAGGCCUUCGGGUUGUAAAGCUCUUUUGUCAGGGAAGAAACGGCGGAGGC